GAUGAACGCUAGCGGCAGGCUUAAUACAUGCAAGUCGAGGGGCAGCAUGAAUGUAGCAAUACAUUUGAUGGCGACCGGCAAACGGGUGCGGAACACGUACACAACCUUCCUAUAAGUGGGGAAUAGCCCAGAGAAAUUUGGAUUAAUAUCCCGUAACAUAAUGAUGUGGCAUCACAUUAUUAUUAUAGCUACGGCGCUUAUUGAUGGGUGUGCGGCUGAUUAGAUAGUUGGCGGGGUAACGGCCCACCAAGUCUACGAUCAGUAGCUGAUGUGAGAGCAUGAUCAGCCACACGGGCACUGAGACACGGGCCCGACUCCUACGGGAGGCAGCAGUAAUGAAUAUUGGUCAAUGGACGCAAGUCUGAACCAGCCAUGCCGCGUGAAGGAUUAAGGUCCUCUGGAUUGUAAACUUCUUUUAUCUGGGACGAAAAAAGGCGAUUCUUCGUCACUUGACGGUACCAGAUGAAUAAGCACCGGCUAACUACGUGCCAGCCGCCGCUGUAAUAC
rnacentral:rRNA from 1 species